UAUCCCUUCUCCAGUGGAUCUUCUGACCCAGGAAUCGAACCAGGGUCUCCUGCAUUGCAGGCCGAUUCUUUACUAACUGAGCUAUCAGGGAAGCCCUUAUUAGAGAAAUAAACCUUGAUGAUAUGUCUUUUCUCUUGAUAAGGCACAUGUCAUCAUUUCAGGGUUGUUGGUUGCCCCAGUAUGGUUUAUUAAAAGAGCUUUGCUUCCUGGGUUGAGCAAGACCUAAUUAAAAGUGUAUAUCUGGCUGCUUUGGUGAUUUUACUCUAAGUUACUUUAUAUGUAUGUUUGCUUUGUUUCCAUUCAUCAAAAAUUCAAGCUCUUAGUUGAUAGGAAAUGGUAACAAGUGUUCAUUGAAGACUUACCAUGUGUAGAUACUUGUCUGUGUGAUUUUAAUGUGUUAUCCAGUACAUCUCACAAUAAUUCUACAAAGUAAAUAUAGUAAUUCUGGGUUUAAUGAUGGGGAAACCGAGGCACAGGAUUUAGAUAACUUACUCAAAGUCAAAUAAUAGGUUAAGUGACAGAAUAUGGUACUAGGUAGCAGCAAUGUUUUGUAUUAUUCUGGGCCAGGCAUAUUUUACCUUAUACGAUAGAUGUUUCUGACAGUGUGUGUUUAAAAUAACUUUUUGUAAGUGAAACCAUAUUUUUAGUGUGCUAAAGGAGCCUAUUAUUUAAAAUUGAACCUGCAAAUAAAUCAGUUCUUUUUUAUCAGUCUUGACAAUUGUGGCAUCUUAAAUCAGGGCACUCCUAUACAUUUGAUUGAGUGCAGUAAUUUCUCUGGUAAUUCUAUUGAUUUGGGGUAGGUUUAAAGCUUUAUUAGUUUCAUUCUGCAAACUUUUAUUGAGGACCUAUUUUUUGUAGUAAAGAAAACGUGCUGUAAGAAAGUCCAAAGGAGGCAAUUCCCGAUUUAGAAUUAGCUGGUGAUAAAAGCUUAUAAAAUACUUUUCCCUGAAACCUGUCCUUAAUUUAAGCUUGUAAAUUAUACUGCUGUUCAUGCCUGUAUUUUUGUACAUAUGCUACAGCUGCACGAUCUAAAACAAUAGCCACUAGACAUGUGUGUCUAUUUAAAUGUAAAUUAAUUAGUAUUAAAUAAAAUGCAAAAUUCUGUUCCUUAAUCACUGGCCACAUUCUAAAUGUUUGAUAGUUGUGUGUAACCAGUGGCUGCCAUAUUGGACAGAACAGGACUAGAGAAAUGGUAACAUCCACUCUUUUUACAGGAAUUAAGGUGGUCCAUGUGCUUUUGUGGGGAAUGAAAAGUGGAGGAAAAGGAUCUGAUGGGACUUUUUAUUUAAAAGUAUACAUUACACUUUCUUUUUUCGACAGGAUGAAAGCAUAUAAAUAAGUUUUAUGUGACAUGGGAGCCUUCAUAAGGAAAUGAAGAGCCAAUGAAACAGAGCUGUGUAUUUUUAUGCAAGCUUUAAUAAAGGGGUUGUCAGUCAGUGUGUCUAGUCUACCAUGUGGAUUACCAGCUUAUAUAAAAGGAUGCAAGUCAGGAACAGCCAGUUGGAGGAGAUGCCUAUGACAGGGAAGGGAGAAAGGCAUGGAGUUCUUUCCCUGCUCUCUCCAAGCUCAUCAUUCUCCCUGAAUCUCCAUGUGUUCACCAAUCCAGAAACAAUAUGUGUUACAUUUUUUUUAAAGACCUUGGAGUAUCUUCACAAUGUCUCUUCCGAACUGAAAAAUAAUAGGUAACUGAAGUGUUGGUAAAUAAUAUUUUAAAGUAUUAGUUAUGCUGCUUUUUAAAUGGAAUUUUGUGUUAUUAAAAAGUGCCCUCU